rnacentral:sRNA from 1 species
UCUGAUAAAUGCACUUCAAAGGGAGGGAAGGC